rnacentral:lncRNA from 1 species
CGAGGCGACGCGCACCCCUCACGCAUGAGGAUCCUCGCCUGGGAUGUGACAUAUGCGCGCCCACCAGGCGCCCUCUUGGUUGCAGUCGGGACUGCCUCUGCCGCCUGCUUGGUCAUCGUGUCGGCCACGAUGGUCAUGUCUGCGAUCACGGUAAGCAACGACGACCCCGUCGUCGGCGCGCUCGUACGCAUCAUAGGCCGCGGGCGACUGUGGGAGCACGCCGACGUACGAGUAAGGGUCGAUGGCGGGUGAGGGUGGCACACUGCGCCGUAUCGCUGCGCCUGCGCUGUACGUCGCGAGAGCGCCAAGGUGACCGUGACCGCCCAUGGGUGCACGGUCGCCGGCGCAGAAUCCGCACCCGGUCGGGGUUGUGUUCCAGCCUGACAAAUGCGCACGAUCGGUGGUGUGUCGGACGGCGUUGCCCAAGAGGGUCACGAGGCGCUCCGGCACAGUGGCAUCCGAGAGCCGCUGCGUGCCAUGGGCCUCGUCCUCUGCGAGCGCGCGCAUCAUGGCCAUGGCCUUCCAUUCCGAGAUAUAUACAUAGGCCAUCGCGGCGUCGACGAUGGACGGCGGCCAUCCGCGGGCCUCGCGCGCGACCGCCGCCAGCGCGUCGGGAUCGUGGUCCAGCGCGGCCCAGAAUCGUCGGUAGCGCGUGACGAGACCGGUGCCGUUGCCGGCGACGGUGCCCUCGCCCAGCAGCGCGCCAAAGGACGCACCGUCCAAGAGACGCGUAAACGUGCGUAUGUCGUCGGAUGUGCCCGUACCGCCGGCGACGCGCGCACACAGUUCAGUCAACUCUACAAUCCACCCGACCAGGUGGCGGCCGCCGCCGCCGCCGUCAGUGCUCCCGUCGGCCAUGGCCGCAGGGAAUCCGUUUGCGUCUGCGUUUUUUUCGAAAAGGGAAAAAAGGUGGGCGCCGCCGUUGCUUGGAGACGCACGUGUCUAGAUCGAUUUUUACUUUUUUCUUUUUUUGGUGGGGAGGCAACCGGCUGCUGUUCUUUUUUUACCUCUGUACACGUGGCGAAAAAAAGAUCUGUCGCCGCGCAGCGGCCUGUGCGUGCCACCCGACGCGCCAUGGCAACGCCCUUUUCCCGCCUCUGCGUAACCGCGCCAACGAGGGCUAAACAAGAGGCACCCUUUGCUGUAAAACAAGAACAAGCCUGUCGGCGACGGCCCGCGGCGACAGCCGACAUGGGGGAAUCAAGACAGACUUUGUUGGCCUCCGAGUUGGUCGGUGCACGCGCGAGGCCGACAUCACGGCAAGAGACCCGUGUCCGUGUCGAGCCGCAGAGAUUGACGAAAAGAGGUGAAGAGGGAAAAAACCAGAAAAAGACAUUGGGGGGGGGUCAGAGGUACGGCGUCGAUGGUGGCGUGGUGGUGGUGG